rnacentral:rRNA from 1 species
CCUACGGGGGGCAGCAGUGAGGAAUAUUGGUCAAUGGACGAGAGUCUGAACCAGCCAAGUAGCGUGAAGGAUGAUUGCCCUAUGGGUUGUAAACUUCUUUUAUAUGGGAAUAAAAUGUUCACCGUGGGGGAGUUUGUAUGUACCAUAGAAAUAAGGAUCGGCUAACUCCGUGCCAGCAGCCGCGGUAAUACGGAGGAUCCGAGCGUUAUCCGGAUUUAUUGGGUUUAAAGGGAGCGUAGGUGGAUGGUUAAGUCAGUUGUGAAAGUGUGCGGCUCAAGCGGAAAAUUGCAGUUGAAACUGGCAGUCUGGAGUACAGUAGAGGUGGGAGGAAUUCGUGGUGUAGCGGUGAAAUGCUUAGAUAUCACGAAGAACUCCGAUUGCGAAGGCAGCUCACUGGACUGCAACUGACACUGAGGCUCGAAAGUGUGGGUAUCAAACAGGAUUAGAUACCCUUGUAGUC